GAUGAAGAACGUAGCGAAAUGCGAUAAGUAAUGUGAAUUGCAGAAUUCAGUGAAUCAUCGAAUCUUUGAACGCACAUUGCGCCCGCCAGUAUUCUGGCGGGCAUGCCUGUUCGAGCGUCAUUUCAACCAUCAAGCCCCCGGCUUGUGUUGGGGACCUGCGGCUGCCGCAGGCCCUGAAAACCAGUGGCGGGCUCGCUAGUCACUCCGAGCGUAGUAAUACAUCUCGCUCAGGGCGUGCUGCGGGUUCCGGCCGUUAAAAAGCCUUAUUUACCCAAGGUUGCCCUCGGAUCAGGUAGGAAGACCCGCUGAACUUAAGCAUAUCAAUAAGCGGAGGA
rnacentral:misc_RNA from 1 species